UCGAGAAACCUUAGUCAAAAAGACUGCAACUCCUGUCUGGGCAUUUAAAAGGCAUUGUAUAUUCUGCAGUGGCCAGCAUUCUCUUGUUGAGUGUAGAAAAAUCAAAGAACUGCCACAUAAAGACAGAAUUGACUUUCUAAAAUCUAAAGGUUUAUGCUUUCGUUGUCUCAAUCAGGGCACAACUAUAAAGAAAAGAAUGAAAUUUCAGAUAUGUUCUUUGUAGCACCCACACAUCUUGCAGCUCAAAAAUGAGGAUAGAGCAACGCUACAGCUACAUCCAGUGAGGCAACACCAACUGAAGGAGAAAACUGAGUGAAGACUGCACUUGGAUGGAUGAUUGGUGGGCCAUACAAAGAAAUUGAUGACUUCACCAAAGCACAGUGGUAUUCAACACCCUUCCCCCUCAGAAGACCCAGAAGCCAUCAGAUCGAAGGAGAUGAAGAAAAGGAAGAUAUCUGCGACCCACUCGACCCAGAAGAGUUUGUUGACACUUUAGAAAGAGUCCUGGAGACCUCAGCCAUCAAGCUGCCUCCCCACUUG